rnacentral:rRNA from 1 species
CGGCCGCGUCGACUAGGUCCCGAGCGUUGUCCGGAUUUAUUGGGCGUAAAGCGAGCGCAGGCGGUUUGAUAAGUCUGAAGUUAAAGGCUGUGGCUCAACCAUAGUUCGCUUUGGAAACUGUCAAACUUGAGUGCAGAAGGGGAGAGUGGAAUUCCAUGUGUAGCGGUGAAAUGCGUAGAUAUAUGGAGGAACACCGGUGGCGAAAGCGGCUCUCUGGUCUGUAACUGACGCUGAGGCUCGAAA